rnacentral:rRNA from 1 species
UGGGGAAUUUUGGACAAUGGGCGCAAGCCUGAUCCAGCAAUGCCGCGUGCAGGAUGAAGGCCUUCGGGUUGUAAACUGCUUUUGUACGGAACGAAACGGCGAGCUCUAAUACAGUUUGCUAAUGACGGUACCGUAAGAAUAAGCACCGGCUAACUACGUGCCAGCAGCCGCGGUAAUACGUAGGGUGCAAGCGUUAAUCGGAAUUACUGGGCGUAAAGCGUGCGCAGGCGGUUAUGUAAGACAGAUGUGAAAUCCCCGGGCUUAACCUGGGAACUGCAUUUGUGACUGCAUAGCUAGAGUACGGUAGAGGGGGAUGGGAUUCCGCGUGUAGCAGUGAAAUGCGUAGAUAUGCGGAGGAACACCGAUGGCGAAGGCAAUUCCCUGGACCUGUACUGACGCUCAUGCACGAAAGCGUGGGGAGCAAACAGGAUUAGAUACCCUGGUAGUCCACGCCCUAAACGAUGUCAACUGGUUGUUGGGUCUUCACUGACUCAGUAACGAGGCUAACGCGUGAAGUUGACCGCCUGGGGAGUACGGCCGCAAGGUUG